GAUGUUGAGUCAGGAGAAUAUUUAUGAAAUAUAUUUUUUGUCUGGAAAAAAUAAUAAUUAUGAUAAUUUUUCUUCAGAGCCCAAUUAUUUAAUUCCUAUAACAUCCUAAGAAAAUUACACACUUAUACUUUCUGAUAAUAUCAUAAACUAACAAGCUAAAAUGUACUAACGGGAGAAUUUAGUUCAUUGCUUUACUUUGAAAGAAUUCAAAGGAAGUGCUAAUCACAUAUCAGUUCUCUAGCUUUACUCUGAUUGUAUUUACACACCGAGUCCACUAGGGGGCAGAAGGCUAAGUUAGCAGUUAGCUAGUUUCCCGCUGCCGACCGGCUAAUGAAGCUCUUGUUGCUCUCUUGGUGUUUCUGCUGUGGUAUUUCAAAAACAUGUUUUCUAUUUUAAGAUGAAAUCAGUGUUUUAUCAGUCAGUGUGAACUACAAGCAGCUCCAGAGAGAAGAAAACAUCCUGCAGAGACUCUGAGCGGAGCGAGCGAUGCUAACAGACUAGCAGAAGCAGCAGCUUGUUUUAUACUCAAUGAUUCUGUUGAAUGUUGAUGUUUUGAUUCAUCAGCUGUUGCUUUUUCUCCAGUGAUGACAAUACUUGAUCAGCUUAUUGACAGAACCAACUGAUUGAGAAUCUUCAUCCAUUCAUCCAGAGCUGGAAGUGAGAGGAUGAGGACCUGAGGCACUUCAAGAAGCUGGACCCCUGCAGGGAAGGAGGAGACCAGAGGCUGAGUCUGCUUCUGCUGCUGCUGCAGAAACACUGAAUGCUAUCAAGUAUUUCAGUCCAGUUUCUUGGACUCUGCAAAUAAAACACCAACAAGUAGCUUUUCAGUAAGAUAUUUUCCUCUGCAGUGCCUGCUGCUGGCAGGCCGCAGACGAUGAAGGUCUCCAUCCUCUUCCUCCUCUGCAGAAAAAGGAGGAUCAUUCCAGAAGUCGGGUCAGAACUGGCCUGUAGUGGGGUCAAAGAUCACAGAGAAAGCACAAAGCUGCGAUGGCGGCGCGGUCUGAGCUGCAGCUCUUUGGAUCAUGUGACAUGUUUGUCGGUGCAGCUUUCUGAAUGUAACGUUUUGUUCUGGUUCUUCUUCUUGUGUAUUUAUGCUGCUGAGCCACCAGCAGAUAUUUAUUCACAUUCAAAUAAAAACUAAAUAUAUAAAAACAAA